AUCCAGACUCCUACGGGAGGCAGCAGUGGGGAAUAUUGCGCAAUGGGGGGAACCCUGAUGCAGCGACGCCGCGUGGGUGAAGGAGUGCUUCGGCAUGUAAAGCCCUAUCGGCAGGGGAGAAGCAAGACGGUACCUGACUAAGAAGCCCCGGCUAACUACGUGCCAGCAGCCGCGGUAAUACGUAGGGGGCGAGCGUUAUCCGGAUUCAUUGGGUUUAAAGGGUGCGUAGGUUGUUUUAUAAGUUAGCGGUGAAAUACCGAUGCUCAACAUCGGGGCUGCCGCUAAUACUGUAGGACUAGAGAUCGGAUGCAGCAGGCGGAAUGUGUAGUGUAGCGGUGAAAUGCAUAGAUAUUACACAGAACACCGAUUGCGAAGGCAGCUUGCUAGGCCGGAUCUGACACUGAUGCACGAAAGCGUGGGGAUCGAACAGGAUUAGAUACCCGAGUA
rnacentral:rRNA from 1 species